GAUGAAGAACGUAGCGAAAUGCGAUAACUAAUGUGAAUUGCAGAAUUCCGUGAAUCAUCGAGUCUUUGAACGCACAUUGCGCCCCCUGGUAUUCCGGGGGGCAUGCCUGUCCGAGCGUCAUUGCUGCCCAUCAAGCACGGCUUGUGUGUUGGGUCCUCGUCCCCCCCGGGGGACGUGCCCGAAAGGCAGCGGCGGCACCGCGUCCGGUCCUCGAGCGUAUGGGGCUUUGUCACCCGCUCUGCAGGCCCGGCCGGCGCUGGCCGACGCGAAAGCAACUAUUUUUUCUCCAGGUUGACCUCGGAUCAGGUAGGGAUACCCGCUGAACUUAAGCAUAUCAAUAAGCGGAGGA
rnacentral:misc_RNA from 1 species